UGAGGGUGCUGUUAGUGUGCUGUGUGUGAGGGUGCUGUUUGUGAGGGAACUGGUAGUGUGCUGUGUCUGUGUGUGUGUGUGUGAGAGGGUGUUUGUGUGUGCGUGUUUGUUCGGGUCCUGUUAGUGUGCUGUUUGUGUGCGGGUGUUGUGUGUUUGUCAGGGUGCUGUUUGUAUGAGAGUGUGCUGUUUGUAUGAGAGUGUGCUGUUUGUGUGUGGGUGCUGUGCGGGUGUUGUGUGUGGGUUUUGUGUGUUUGUGAGGAUGCUGUUAGUGUGCUGGAUGUGUGUGGGUGUUGUAUGUGUGUGGGUGCUGUGUGUGCGAGGGUGAUGUAUGUGUGUGUGUGGGUGCUGUUUGUGGGCUGUGUGUGCUGUAUGUGUGUGUGCUGUAUGUUUGGGUGGAGGUGGGGGCAGACUAGUUAAUAUCCCAGUCCUGCUGCCUUCCCUGGUGGUUCAGUGGAGAGUGAACUCUAGCCCGGGUUCUCUGCUGCCUCCCUCCAUGCUGCUGUGGACCGGUGAGGUAGAACUUUGAU